UCUGUAACUCCUCCGGAGGAAAACUGCCGGUCCCAAACCCGGAUAAAGGAGGAGGGGUGGA
rnacentral:ribozyme from 2 species